AGCACUCAUGUGCUGAAUCAAGCUAGACAUCAUACAACUGUCAUUACUGGGUAUACUACAAAUCCACAUUCAUCCAACUUUGACUGGGCCCUUUAUACAGGUCUGAGGAAAGAGGUACUGAUCAUAAGAGUUAUAACUCUUCCAAGGUGGAGGCACAAUGAGACCAUCAUUGGAAUCAUUCAGAUGAGGUUAAGUACUCAUAAAAAAAUGGUGUUUCGGCUGACCUUUGAAGGAGACCAAGGAUUCUAAGAUCUGAAGAUGAGAAGAGAGUGUGUUCCAGGCAUGAAGGACAACUGGUGAAAGAUCAUGGAGAAAAAAUAUAGAAUAUCAUACACGACUGACAGCAAGUAGGUCAGUGUGACUACACUAUGAACUGUAUGAAGUAUGUGAUAAAUUUGGAAAAGCAAAUAAAAGUCAGUUAGAAAAGGCUUUCAAAUGUCAAGCAAAUUUUUAUCUGAACUUGAGAGUCAAUGGGAGUCACCAGAUUUUCUUAAACAAUAGAAGAACAUGAUUUGACCUGUGUUUUAAGAAUUGGCAACUAUAUAAAUGGAUUGGAAGGGGAAGAGAUUUGAGGAAAGGGGACCAAUCAGUGAGCCAUCAUGAUAGUCUACUUGAGACAUGUUAAGGAUCGGAAGUAGGGUGGUGGUUGUAUGAGCAUAAAAAAGGAGACAGAUGUAGAAAACGCUGUGAAGGAAUAAAUGAAAUGACAACUGAUUAGAUGAGAUAGCUGAGAGGGUAUAAAUUGAGGAUAAUUCCAAGGUUCCAAACCUAGAUUAGAAGGAUGAUGUUGCCUUUAACAGAAAUAGGAACGUAGGAAAAGAAGGAUGGGUUUGGGUGAGAAAUAUGCUGAGCUAUUUUAGAAAUAGUAAGUUUGAAAUGCCUGGAUGAUAUCUAGUCAGCAAAGUCCAAAAGGCAACUGAUGAUGUGGAACUGUAGCUCAAAAGAGAUCGUUCCUGGAUAUAGGAUUCGGGAUACAUCUGCAUAGAGAUGGUAGUUGGAUCAAUGGGAAUUGAAGAAACUGUCAUCAACUGAGAGAGUGUAGACAGAUAAGAAGUUCCAGGAUAUAGCUAUGAGAUCCACCCACAGUUGGUGGGCUUUAGGUAAUGAUAAAGCAAAGGAGAGUGGAAAGGACUAGUCAGAAAGGUAGGAAGAUAAUCCAGAAAGGAGUGUUUCAAAAACCCAGGAAGGAGAGAAGAGCCAGGAGGACUAAUGUGGACAACAGUGUCACAUGCUAGAGAGAUUUAAAAAAAAAAAAAAAAAAAAAAAAGAGGACCGAGAGCAGACUAUCCAAUUUGAGAACUAUUCUAUUGGUAACUUCAGAGAGAGAUUCCAAUUGAUUGUUGAGGUUAGAUAAAUUAUAGUAAAAGGCUGAGAAGGGGAAAUGGAAAUAAUGGG